rnacentral:rRNA from 1 species
GACGAACGCUGGCGGCGUGCCUAAUACAUGCAAGUCGAACGAGAGCGACCGGUGCUUGCACUGUUCAAUCUAGUGGCGCACGUGUGAGUAACACGUGGGUAACCUGCCCAUCAUAGGGGGAUAACAUCCGGAAACGGAUGCUAAAACCGCAUAGGUCUUCGAUCCGCAUGGCUUGAAGUGGAAAAGAGGCGCAAGCUUCUGCUGAUGGAUGUACCCGCGGUGCAUUUUCUAGUUGGUGAGGUAACGGCUCACCAAGGCCGUGAUGCAUAGCCGACCUGAGAGGGUGAUCGGCCACAUGGGAACUGAGACACGGCACAAAGACCUACGGGAGGAAGCAGUAGGGAAGAUUACGCAAUGGACGAAAGUGUGACGGAGCAACGGCGCGUGAGAGAAGAAGGUGUUCGGAUCGUAAAACUCAGUUGUUAGAGAAGAACAAGAGCGAGAGUAACUGUUAGCGCCUUGACGGUAACUAAACAGAAAGCCACGGCUAACUACGUG